UGCCAUUCCAGGGUCUGAGCUCCCCAGACCGGGUGAGAUCAUCCUUUCAGGCCUUGCGUGCUUUAAUAAGCUGGAUGACAUCCUGAAUGAAUAUGUAAAUGAACAAGUGAAUGACUCCACAGGAAUCCAUGAACAGAGUCUCUGUCAAGAAGCCAUUUAGGCUCCUGUAAGAUGUACCAGUCUGCAACAGAAGAACAACAUCACCCGCCUGGCAGGUUGGUGCCAGGGUGACUCAGCACCUGAGCAUGGAUUCUCCUUGACUGGAGAAACAUGGAAAAAUCAUCCAAGGAGACGAACGGGAAACCGUGCUAGACAAAUGAAGAGAGCUUCAAGAGGUGGGAAAAGGCAGUGGUGGUCUUUGGAUCAAAGAACCAGGGGGAAGAUUGUGUAAGCCAUCACAGGCUCAUGGUUGGGUAUUAAGCUCAUCCUUAGAUCAAACUCCUGGAAAAUAUAUAAAUUUUGAAAACAAGUUGCAAGAAACUCCAUCUUUCUGCCAGCAACUUAGAAAAACAAAUUAUUAAACUUUAGGGUUGGGAGGAAUCUGAAAAGUCAGCCAGUCCAAUCAGUCUCCCUGGACAGAUAUGAAGAAUGAAACUGAAAAGUGGUUUGCUCAAGGUCAAACAGCUUAUCUCCCACAUUCCUAACCUGGGCUCUAGGAAGGAUAGAACUCAAGUGGAACUCUCUUGAUGUUUGUGCAAUACGGGGACAAGGGUUCCAUCCCUGGUCGGGGAACUAAAGAUCUCACAUGCCGUGGGGCCCAUGAACCACAACUACAGAGCCCACGUGCCCUGGAGCCUGCACGCCACAACUAGAGAAGAGAUAACCCACACGCCACAACUAGAGAGAAGCCCGCGCGCCGCAAGGAAGAGCCUGCGUGCCGCAACUAAAGGUCCCACAUGCCUCAACGAAGACCCUGGGUGCCACAACUAAGACCUGAUGCAGCCAAAUAAAUAAAUAAAUAAAUAAAUAAAUAAAUAAAUAAAUGAAAUAUUAAAAAAAAUAAAGUUACUCAAAGGAAUUUUUCAAAAUAACAGUAACUAAGACCCACCCCCAUUAGAAAGUUAGAGGCAUUCCAUGAUUUGUUCGUCCCAUAACAAACUCCAACGAAUCCUUCAUCUAGCAAAGCGGGUGGUCUUGGACAUCUCAUGCAACCUGUGGUGAGGAAUUUUGCUUGGGAUAACUGGAAUGUUUAUAGGAACUUUAACUAACAAUGAGGUCUUGGAAUGUAGGCUAAACAUGCAGAACAAAGACCUCACACUGGCAUAGAAAACCAGUGAUCUGGAGUCAGAAAUCUAGUGUUCUCCUCUGUGCUCUGACAAUUGCUCUAAAAUAUUAGUUAACUACAUCAGACCCACACCCCUCUCUAAAGGCGAGGAAACCUGUCUGUAAAAUGAUGGUGUUCUCCUUGGAGAACGUUUUAAAUAUCCUACUGUUUUACACCAUCAUGCAUUUAUCCAAAGGAUCUCUGCCUGGAACAUCACUCUUCUUCACUCUUUCUGUAAAUUCAUCUUUCUGAUUCUUCAGGCAUUGCCUCCUUUGAUAAGACAUCCCUAUCAUACAGCCUCACCCCCAUCCCUGCUCCAGCCUGAAUCGAGAGCUCCUCUUUAGGCCUCCACCCCACCUUAUACUUCUUAUUACCCUUAUCACAACAUUUUAUAAAAUAUGCCAGACAUUCAAAAAGCCAUUAAGAAAAUUAGAGUCAUCCAAUUAACUACCUCCCAAUUAAAUCAUGCUUUAAGUCCAUUUUUGUCACAGGAUUUUAAAAAAUAUUUUCUUGAAAUGACCUUUACACCCAGCACUCUACUCAUUAUCUUUAAGGAAGUUUAGAACUGAAAUGGAAUUUUUCAGAAUUCAUGAAAUAUGGUAAUUAAGGGAUAUUUCAUCCAAACUAUAAAUUGUCUUCAGUGACUAAAACAUUAAAAUGAAGUAGUGGAGAAAAGAAGCAGAGCAGGGGAGCAAGGAGAGAUACCAGGGGUAAUAUUUAAUUCAUUCUGAAAUUAUCAGCUUCAAACCCCAUGCCUGGUACAUAGUAGACACAAAAUACGCAUUUCUGAAAGUGAUCUGAACUACUACGGUCAGAGGCAAGUUACCUAAAAUAAUGAGGUUGUAAUAAAGAUCCAUUUUCUCAGAAGCCCAAGAUAAAGAUCAACCCUUCAAGUGUUCCUUUUCAAUAACUUAAAUGGACUCCUUUGCAACAUCUCCAUGCAAAGCCAUGACAUCACCGGUGGGGUUUGUGUCACUUAUGUGAGCAAUGUUUCAAUUGUGCUGUUCCCAAACUGUAGCCAAAACAAGCUGUCUUAUUCCCCGAGGCAGUGGCCAAGGCUUGGAAACCCUGAGUGUGUACACACACAUAAAUCUCAAGGGGAAGAAUCAUGUUUAAACCUUUAAAGAACUUAAACGCAUUUAGACCUUCAAAGUUGUUUGGUUUUAUGGUAACCUGGAUAGGGUUAUCCAGAGAAAUGUGAACAUUUAGGGAAGGAGAUGUGCAUGCAUUUGCUUCAUUAAAGGUGACGGCAUUCUUUGAAGUAUCCAGAGAGUUACAAAAGAAGACUCAGACUCACAAGACUCCUUCUCUAGAUAGGAGUUCUCAGCAGUGAGAAGCAUGUUUUACAUCUGCAUAGAGUCUCACGAUCCUAUUGAGAGAAACUGUAAUCCAUUCCAAUUGUGUAAAGACCCUUGCAGGGGAAAGGACCCUGAGUUGGGUCUGGAACUAUCUCCCUCUAUAGAGAGAGAGAGAGAGAGAAAGAGAGAGAUUGGGAACCUGGAAAAAGGACGGUUUUAUCGGAGGUGUUCAAACAAGCGUAUGUUUUCCUUCCUUCCUUAUAUUUGACCAUAACGUAUGUUCCCAUGCCUAUAUUCCUAUAUGAUACCUACCUACCUACCUACCUACUUACCUAUCUACAGGCCGAACUAGUUUACCUACCUGGUAAACAUCAGACAGAACUGUUCAUCUAAAGUUAGCCUGCAAACAGACAAACAUCAUAUUAUGGCCCCUGAAUAUCUCUGUGGCCUUAUCACUUGUGACAACUCCUUAGUUUGCUUAUUACAAGCUAUUUGUGAUUCCCUAAAUACCUCAUGCAUUGUCAGGGCUCACACUUUUAUCUUUGUUGUACCCUCUGCCGUAGUGCUUUUUCCUAACUUCUCUGCCUAAAGGAUUGCCAGAUAAAAUAGGAUACCCGGCACAAUAUAAAUUUCAGAUAAAAAAAAAAAUUGUUUUUUUAAUAUUGCAUAAGAUACACUCUAUUUCUAUUUGUUAUUUCUGGCAACAGUAUCAGCCUGGUUAAUGCCCACUCACCUUUUCAAAUGUUUCCUUGUCUAUGCUGCUUCGCUAAUCCUUUCUCCCCUUUCCCAUGGAGUUUAGUAAUUUGUUUUCGUAUCUGCCUUGGUGGUCCUUUGUCCACGUUGCCAUUAUAGUAUUGUACUUACAUGUUGUAUUACAACAUAACAUCUGUAUCUACAUGUAUCCUUACCUUCUUUUUCUCUUUCCCACUUAUCACAAGACAAUGCGUCCCUCUACCUUUCAAAGACCCAAUCUCUCCACCUUUGUUCUCCAUCCCAUCUUUUGUAAUACCUCUGUCAACAAGCCCCAUAUCUGUAUUCCCAGCCUAGACUCUUCAUUUGAGUUCCAGACCUGUAUGUAAGAUAGCCUACUUGAAACUUCUGCUUGGCUGUAUCAUAAGGAUUUCAGGCUUAGUAGACGCAAAAGGGAUCUCUUUCCCCACCACAGCAAUUCUGCUUCCAUUGACAGAGUGACUUAGGCCAGUAUCCCCAUUUUCCACCUACCCCUACUCAUUCUCCAGGUCUUAGCCCUAUUAUCACUUCCUCAAGGAAAACCUCCUUUUUUUUGCCACACCAGAUUGGGACCCAUUCUCUUGUUAUACACUCACCAGGUAUCCUACACUUCUCCUUAAUACCAGUUAGCACAACUCAAACAGUAUAUUUACUUGGGUGGUUAUGCCUUUCACUUUUUAAGCCCUUUGAAGUGAGGAUUAUGUCUAUUGUAGGCAUUGCAUCCUCAUUGCCAAGAUAGUGUUUGACUCAGAGCAUGCUCUGUGAAUAUAAAUUAGAUUUCUGAAUAAAUGAGUGAGUGACAGUUUACUUGCAUUCCUCCUUCUUUCCUUAUGAUGAGUCCUUCACAGAUCUGAUAUUUUUGCUUUGGACAUCAUAAGGGUUAAAAAUGCAGGCUUUGGAGUUCAACAGACAUGGAUUCAAGUCUAGUGCUACCACUAAUAUGAUUGUAGUCAAACUACUUCCCCUCAUUAAACCUCAUUUUCUGCAUUGGUAUAUGGGGGAUAAUAGUACAUAUCUCAUAAGGUUUUUCUGAAGAUGAAAUAAAAGGCAUUUUAAACUCUUGAGAAUACUGGUGCAUAGUUCAUUAAAUGUGAGCUAUCUUUCUGAUUUUAUUAUUUAUUUUGUUAGAAAUCCCUUGAGUCUCACCCAAUUCCACUCCAUUCUAGGUAAAAAUGCAACUAUACAACUAUAAUGUCAAAUUAUUUUAAAAUUAAGAAAAUGUAUGAGUGGAAACAAAAUUAAACAACAGAAGAUAUUCAUCAAGAUCUCUUCAACAAGAGGUGAAGAGAGAAGACCUUUUCUAAAAUUGAAGAACUCACAUUCUUUAAAAACUAAUAAUGUGUUCAGAAUAGGGAGUUCAAGGGAAAUAAAUGAUGUAACUUCUCCAUAGUAACAACUCACAUUUUCCCCAUAACGUAAGAAGACUUGCUGAAGUAAGAUAUUGGCCAUUUAAGGGCUUAUUUUUCUGUAAAAGACGUGCAAAGAGUCAAGCUCAAUGUUAAUUAUUUUGGGGGGCAUUUUGCACUGUUUGAGAUGCCAUGCGCUGUUGAAAUUCUCAAAAGCCUUACCAGAGCUAUCAGUCUAUGUGAGGCCUCAGACCCAACCGUAAACACAUGAGAGGUUUUAUUGCAUUUAAUAAUUCUAAGUUGGCCCAAACCAGUUUUUAUUCAAGAUGGCUUUAUGCUUCCAUAUAUGGACCGCACCAGUCUGUGAAAAUCAAGUGAGGAGGAAAUAAGAAACCCUCAGUCUUAUGUCUCCUUUUAAAGAAGAAGAGUUAGACGUGGGUCUAGAAAUGGGUCAAAGUAGAGAACAAGACUUACCAUUUGUAUUUAGCAAGCACAUCACGCACCAAGCUCGUUGGGAACUUUCCUAAGUUCCUCACUUAAUCCUCAUGAUGAUC